rnacentral:rRNA from 1 species
AUUGAACGCUGGCGGAAUGCUUUACACAUGCAAGUCGAACGGCAGCACGGACUUCGGUCUGGUGGCGAGUGGCGAACGGGUGAGUAACAUAUCGGAACGUAUCCAAUAAUGGGGGAUAACUAAUCGAAAGGUUGGCUAAUACCGCAUACGCCCUACGGGGAAAGGCUAGGGACCUUCGGGCCUGGCGUUAAUGGAGCGGCCGAUAUCUGAUUAGCUAGUUGGUGAGGUAAAGGCUCACCAAGGCGGCGAUCGGUAACUGGUUUGAGAGAACGACCAGCCACACUGGAACUGAGACACGGUCCAGACUCCUACGGGAGGCAGCAGUGGGGAAUUUUGGACAAUGGGGGCAACCCUGAUCCAGCAAUGCCGCGUGAGUGAAGAAGGCCUU